UGGGUAAUCAACCCUUCAGCUUGGGAUAACGACUUGAAAGGGUCGCUAAUACCGGAUACGGCGCGAGAGGCUUCGGCUUCUCACGAGAAAGCCUCGCAGGGGGCACUGAAGGACGAGCCUGCGGCCCAUCAGCUAGUUGGUGAGGUAAGAGCUCACCAAGGCUAAGACGGUAGCUGGUCUGAGAGGAUGAUCAGCCACACUGGAACUGAGACACGGUCCAGACCUCCG
rnacentral:rRNA from 1 species